GACGAACGCUGGCGGCGUGCUUAACACAUGCAAGUCGAACGAAGUGGCGAACGGGUGAGUAACGCGUAAUCAACCUGCCCUUCAGAGGGGGAUAACAGUUGGAAACGACUGCUAAUACCGCAUACUGAAGGAGGGGAUUGUGUGUGAUUAGCUAGUUGGAGGGGUAACGGCCCACCAAGGCGAUGAUCAGUAGCCGGGCUGGAGGGAUGAACGGCCAAAUUGGGAAUGGGACACCGCCCAAGCUCCUACGGGAGGCAGCAAGGGGGGAUCAUUCGAAAUUGAGGGAAGUCUUGCGGAGCAACGCCCCGUGAGUGGAGGCGGGCUUCGGGUUGUAAAGCUCUGUUAAGCGGGACGCGGUACCGGAAUAAAAAGCCACGGCUAACUACGUGCCAGCAGCCGCGGUAAUAC
rnacentral:rRNA from 1 species